rnacentral:rRNA from 1 species
GCGGUGGAGCAUGUGGUUUAAUUCGAAGCAACGCGAAGAACCUUACCAGGCCUUGACAUGCAGAGAACUUUCCAGAGAUGGAUUGGUGCCUUCGGGAACUCUGACACAGGUGCUGCAUGGCUGUCGUCAGCUCGUGUCGUGAGAUGUUGGGUUAAGUCCCGUAACGAGCGCAACCUUGUCCUUAGUUACCAGCACGUUAUGGUGGGCACUCUAAGGAGACUGCCAGUGAUAAACUGGAGGAAGGUGGGGAUGACGUCAAAUCAUCAUGCCCCUUAUGACCUGGGCUACAAACGUGAUACAAUGGCUGGAACAAAGGGAUGCGAAGCAGUGAUGUGGAGCGAAACCCAUAAAAACAGUCUCAGUUCGGAUUGAAGUCUGCAACUCGACUUCAUGAAGUCGGAAUCGCUAGUAAUCGUGAAUCAGAAUGUCACGGUGAAUACGUUCCCGGGCCUU